GAUGAACGCUGGCGGCGUGCCUAAUACAUGCAAGUCGAGCGAACGGACGAGAAGCUUGCUUCUCUGAUGUUAGCGGCGGACGGGUGAGUAACACGUGGAUAACCUACCUAUAAGACUGGGAUAACUUCGGGAAACCGUAGCUAAUACCGGAUAAUAUUUUGAACCGCAUGGUUCAAAAGUGAAAGACGGUCUUGCUGUCACUUAUAGAUGGAUCCGCGCUGCAUUAGCUAGUUGGUAAGGUAACGGCUUACCAAGGCAACGAUGCAUAGCCGACCUGAGAGGGUGAUCGGCCACACGGGAACUGAGACACGGUCCAGACUCCUACGGGAGGCAGCAGUAGGGAAUCUUCCGCAAUGGGCGAAAGCCUGACGGAGCAACGCCGCGUGAGUGAUGAAGGUCUUCGGAUCGUAAAACUCUGUUAUGAGGGAAGAACAUAUGUGUAAGUAACUGUGCACAUCUUGACGGUACCUAAUCAGAAAGCCACGGCUAACUACGUG
rnacentral:rRNA from 1 species